GAUGAAGAACGUAGCGAAAUGGGAUAAGUAAUGUGAAUUGCAGAAUUCAGUGAAUCAUCGAAUCUUUGAACGCAUCUUGCGCUCCUUGGUAUUCUGAGGAGCAUGCCUGUUUGAGUGUCAUUAAAUUCUCAACUACACUGACUUUGAAUUGGUGUGGCUUGGAUUUGGGGGGAAAAUUGUUGUGGGCUUUUUGUAUAGUCUGCUCCCCUGAAAUUGAUUAGCGGUACCUUUGUGGAACUGUCUACAGGUGUGAUAAUUAUCUACAUCUUAGACAUCUGCUGGAAUGCUGCUUUCUAAACCUUACUUGUAUUGACAAUCUUGACCUCAAAUCAGGCAGGACUACCCGCUGAACUUAAGCAUAUCAAUAAGCGGAGGA
rnacentral:misc_RNA from 1 species